AUUUUCAUGAUGGUAUGCAUCAAGUUGAAUAUUUCUGGUACAUGAAAUGUUUAUGAUAGUAUCCUUUACUCCUCCUGGUAGUUCACAGCAUGCAGUCAGAGCCCUCUUCCUGCAGCUGUGGCUCAGAUUAGAUAGCGCACCACCACAGAAACGCUGCAGUUACAAGGAGCUGAUGAUGGGCUCUUGGGGAUCCACUCCUCUGCACCAUCAGUUUUCUCUGGGCUCAGUCACUCUCAAUGGAGGAGCAGCCAGGAAUAAGCAGCGUGCCCUGGGAAAGCUCUGGGCCAGAACAGGCGCCCAUUGUGUGCGCUCAGCAGUGCAGACCUGCAUGUAAAUCCUUAAACAAGCUUGUCUGCUCCCGGUGGAAGGGACUUUUUAACAGUUCCUUUGCUCACAAAGGGAAGAGGUUUUUCUUGCUGGAAGCCGCUUGGAGAGGGCUGCUCUUCCUGUUGUACUUUUGUUUCUGCCCACACUGGACUGGGUCCUCAUCCACCUCUUGAUUAUAGCUUUUAAGGCAGAAGAACACGGGAUUCCCCAUGCUCUCUGCUUUUUCGGUGGACUCUCGAGGUUAACUCCAGGCUCACUGGAGGAGAGGGAAAAUACACAGUUUCCUUCAACUUUCCGUUGGCACUUCCCAUCCGCUCUGUCUUCCCACUUCCAAUGUAGCAGCACACAGGUGGGUAAUUCCCCAAGGUGUAGCGGCAGCACCCUGACAGCGCCACCGUGGGGUUCAGAAGGAACUGUUGUCGAAGGCUUCUUGAGUGACCCUUUGCAGGGGAAGAAGAGAAACCAGAAUCUACCAGAAGGCAUCUAACAACUAUGUUUUAAACCUGUUAAAACCACAGGCCAAAUUUCUUCUUCCCAGAGACUUGUGCAGUGACUAAAGUUCACUUACACUCAACACAUGAAGCACGAAAGACCGUUCUUUAGAACACCAAGGUCAUGAUGCAGCAGUUCUCCAGAGCCCCCCCCCCCACGCCCCUUUUGCUGUGCUCUUGUAAGAGGAGACAGACACAUUGUUAAGUCUGAGGGAACAACUGCAUUAUAUUUGCUAAUUAUUUUAAGUUUUGAUUUUUUUUCCCAUAUAGGCUCAUCAGGAGUGUUAAUAAUUCCUCUAAUCUCCUGAGGUUUUAGUGCCGAUAGUAUGUUUAUUUUAUAAAACAAUUUGGUUUUUUUAUUUUUUUAAUUGAAAGGUCUUUGUAAGAUUGUUAUUAUUUUUUUCUCUAAAUGUUGCAGUUCCUAAGUAAUUUUUGUUUACUCAAAUAUUUCUUUAUAGCCUGGCUUUUAAUGACAAAUUUAAUUUAUUUAACAGAGGUUGAACUGCACAGAUUUUUGUUACUCCAUGGGUCCUAAUCAGUAAGUUGCAUUUGUCAAAUAACGUGAAAAACAAUCUGUCUAGUUCAUCUAGGCAUAAAAGUAUUUAUUAUAGUCCUUUAUUUUUUGCUAGCUAUUAAAUAUGCUAUAAUGUU